GACGAACGCUGGCGGCGUGCUUAACACAUGCAAGUCGAACGGAAAGGCCCUGCUUUUGUGGGGUGCUCGAGUGGCGAACGGGUGAGUAACACGUGAGUAACCUGCCCUUGACUUUGGGAUAACUUCAGGAAACUGGGGCUAAUACCGGAUAGGAGCUCCUGCUGCAUGGUGGGGGUUGGAAAGUUUCGGCGGUUGGGGAUGGACUCGCGGCUUAUCAGCUUGUUGGUGGGGUAGUGGCUUACCAAGGCUUUGACGGGUAGCCGGCCUGAGAGGGUGACCGGCCACAUGGGGAAUGAGAGAAGGAGCAGAGUCCGACGGGAGGCAGUAGGGGGGAAUAGUGCACAAUGGGGGGAAGUCUGAGGCAGCAACGCCGCGUGCGGGAGGAAGGGCGUCGGGGGGGAAAACGGUUUCGCCGGUGACGAAGCGGGAGUGAGGGGAAGGGGUAAAGAAGCAACGGCUAACUAAGUG
rnacentral:rRNA from 1 species